UGGUGCAUGGUUGUCGUCAGCUCGUGUCGUGAGAUGUUGGGUUAAGUCCCGCAACGAGCGCAACCCCUACGUUUAGUUGCUAACAGGUGAAGCUGAGCACUCUAGACGAACUGCCGUUGACAAAACGGAGGAAGGUGGGGAUGACGUCAAAUCAUCAUGCCCCUUAUGUUCUGGGCUACACACGUGCUACAAUGGCCGGUACAGACGGAGGCGAAGCCGCGAGGCGGAGCAAAUCCGAAAAAGCCGGUCUCAGUUCGGAUUGCAGGCUGCAAUUCGCCUGCAUGAAGUCGGAAUCGCUAGUAAUCGCAGGUCAGCAUACUGCGGUGAAUACGUUCCCGGGCCUU
rnacentral:rRNA from 1 species